CUAAGAAAAUACUGUACCCAUAAAUGGCGGAAAUGUUUAAUGUGAUAAAUUGGAUACUUAUGGACAUGAUUCCAUAUGAAUUGGUGAAGAUGUGUCUGCUGUUGAUGCCAUUUUGGAAUUGGAUAACAGGAACAGAAGAAGGAAAACACAGCAUCUGUCACCCGAUUGAUGACUCGCCCCACACACGCCGUGGGUAGCUGUCAAAAGGAGAUAGCCCGACGCGAAGAAUUGGAGAGCUGUCAACACUGAGAACAAAGGUGGCACCGGCAAUGACCGACGAG